rnacentral:snRNA from 1 species
AUACUUACCUGGCAGGGGACAUACCAUGAUCACGAAAGUGGUUUUCCCAGGGCGAGGUUUAUCCAUUGCACUCUGGAUGUGCGAUUUACCCAAAUGUGGGAAACUCAACUGCACAAUUUGUGGUAGUGGGGGACUGCGUUCACGCUCUCCCCUG